UACGAAGGGGGCUAGCGUUGCUCGGAAUCACUGGGCGUAAAGGGCGCGUAGGCGGGCUGGCCAGUCUGUGGUGAAAUCCCCCGGCUUAACCGGGGAACUGCCGUGGAUACUGCCAGUCUCGAGGAGGGUAGGGGCAUCUGGAACAGCCGGUGGAGCGGUGAAAUGCGUUGAUAUCGGCUGGAACUCCGGUGGCGAAGGCGAGAUGCUGGACCCUUUCUGACGCUGAGGCGCGAAAGCCAGGGGAGCGAACGGG
rnacentral:rRNA from 1 species